rnacentral:tRNA from 1 species
GCGGGUAUCGUAUAGCGGCUAUUAUAUCUGCCUUCCAAGCAGAAGAUGCGGGUUCGACUCCCGCUACCCGCUCCA